rnacentral:rRNA from 1 species
GAGCAUGUGGCUUAAUUUGACUCAACGCGGGAAAUCUUACCGGGUCCGGACACACUGAGGAUUGACAGGCAAUAAAUUAAAAUAUAUUAUAUAUUUUAUGUUAAAUAUGCUAGUCCUUUCAUGAUUAUGUGAUAGGUGGUGCAUGGCCGUUCUUAGUUCGUGGAGUGAUCUGUCUGCUUAAUUGCGUUUCACUAAGGGCUUAUUAAUUUAACGUGUGUUGUUAGGCGUUAACUUUGACCCCUAAUUUUAAUUAAUUAGUGCGUGUCUUAGUUUUUAUUGCUUUUAACUCACACAAUUAAGUCCUGAAAGCAACGAACGUGACCGCAACCUCUUGUUGCCUUUAUAUUUAUUUAUUUACGCCUCGCGCGUAAAAAAAUUUAAAAAAAAGGCUUUUUAAACUAGAGGGACCGCUGUAACUUUUUUAAACCAGAGGAAGGUUGCGGCAAUAACAGGUCUGUCAUGC